CGCGAGUGACCGAGUGGGCAAGGGGCUGUCACUGUGUGUGCGUGAUUGUUGUGACGGUGUGUAGUGGUCGCUUCUGACUCCGCAUGGGUCGCUGAAUGUGUGACUGGUACCGUUUAGCGGUGGAUACACAAUUGUGUGCGGCUGUGGAAGAUUCCCUCAUCCGUUAAGUUCCCAUUUCCGUGGAACAGCAGUUUUACCAGAAGGUUUGGAAGGAGCCUUAAAAAUUAGGAAGCGCGGCUUUGGUGCCAUCACGUGUGAGAAGCCCAGGACUUUACACAUCCCGAGCCAGUGUGGUCCAAUAUGAUGGGGAGUCCAAGUGCCAGAUGCCGGUCAGGACCUGUUAUUCUGGGUCUCAGAAUGAGGAAGCCCUCCCUGUCCGAGAUGGAACAGUUCGUCUUUGAGUCAGGCCCGGAGUCCUGAGUUACUGUCUUUUGAUUUGAUCCUGUUUCCCUCAGACCUGGUGAACUCUAUGGUGUAAUAAGUGGAGAUUGGGGUCUCACUGUAUUGCCCAGGCUGAUCUUCAAUUCCUGAGCUCAAGUGAUCAUCUUGCCUCAGCCUCCCAAAAUGCUGAUGCUGCUGCGUCGUUGUCUAGGGUAAAUACCUGAGGUUCGUUGUCUCACGCCAAGGGAAUCGAGGACGCGGACACACAAGAAGUGAGUUUAAGAGCAGAGGUUUAAUAGGCAAAAGAGAAAAGAGAACAGCUCUAGCUUCUGCAGAGGGAGAAGGGCUCCCAGGUAGGACUUCCAUGGGGCAUGGGGUUUUGUAGACUGGCUUCAGGAGGUGGUGUCUGAUUUACAUAAGCCCCAAAGAUUGGUUGGACCAGGUGUGCCAAUCAGAAGCUGGUUGUCCCACCCUAACCUUUUAUUAUGCAGAUGGAGUCCCUACCUGGCCAGGGCCAUGCUGUCUGUUCCUUACUGUACACUUCCCUUUUGAUUGACAAAAGGGAAGAUGCAGCUGCCAUGUUGGACAUGCCUGGCCCCCAGGUACCUUUUUCCUAUUGGCACAGCUGCCAGCAUUCAUCCGUGCAAGCUUCCAGCUUGCUUAUCUAUGUCUGCGGCGUGAUUUUUCAGGCUGCUCUUUGUUAGAAAUGACUCAGGGGCUGCUUUUCAUUAAAAGGAAAACCGUACCGAGGAUUUCCUUACUCUCAGUAUCUGCCUAACUAAUUUCUUUUUAACUCCUAUGUCACUUGGGAUUACAGGCAUGAGCCACUGUGCCUGGUAGAGGGUUUUUUUGUCUUUAUUCCUCAAGAUUUUGCAUUUAGAUAAUUAUGUUAAACUUAGGUGUGCUAGGUAGACAUAUGUCUGCUGAUUACCCAUUAGGAAGAAUGUGGAUUCCUACUUAGGGAAAAGGAGUCAGGCUGGUGGGACCAGUGGAAAGCAAAGAGAUAAAGCAAAUAAGCUAUAGAUCUGCAUUUUCUUCAUGGUCCAGGAUAUAUAAACAGAAAAAGGAAGCAGAUAAGCUAUAGGCUUGCUUUUCUUUAUGGCCCAGGACAUACAGCCCUCCUGAACAAAUCAUGAACAUAACUCACAAACUUCCUGCUUGUCAUCAAACGCACGCAAACAUUCAUCAUCAAACACCUUGGGUGACAGAGAAUGCAGGUUAGCUCCCUGCUGCCUUGGCGUUAUCCAUCAGCCCAGGAACCAUCCUAUAAAAUCUCCAGCAAGCCUUUGUUUCCUUGCAGUCAGCUCCUCUUCCGCUGAUUCUGCCUGUUGCUCCCUGAUAACACUUUCAUACUGUCUUUAAUAAAUCUGCCUUUCGCCA